AGAAACGUACAAAUGUAUGAAGAAAUUACAGAUUUCUUCAAGUUCCCUCUAGCCUCUCUAUUUGAAAUAUGGUAACACUAAAUCUUACACAAAGAUUUUGUAUACAACUCUAAACACUAAAUUGCAGAGAAAUCAUCACGAAGAUGAAUGGUUACCAAUUUUGAAAGAACCCUAGUUCACACACAGAUAGAACAAUCUAGAGAGAAAG
rnacentral:lncRNA from 1 species